rnacentral:rRNA from 1 species
GGUCAAGUGAAUAAGAGCAUGUGGUGGAUGCCUUGGCGAUGAUAGGCGACGAAGGACGUGAUAGCCUGCGAUAAGCUUCGGGGAGCUGGCAAAUAAGCUUUGAUCCGGAGAUUUCCGAAUGGGGAAACCCACCUAGAAGUAGGUAUCGCAUGAUGAAUACAUAGUCAUGCGAGGCGAACCGGGUGAACUGAAACAUCUCAGUAGCUCGAGGAAAAGACAUCAACCGAGAUUCCGAAAGUAGUGGCGAGCGAAAUUGGAAGAGCCUGUUAGUGAUAGCACAAGACUUAACGGAACGUUCUGGAAAGGACGGCCAUAGUGGGUGAUAGCCCCGUACGUGAAAAGACCUGUGUGAUACUGAGCUAACGAAAAGUAGGGCGGGACACGAGAAAUCCUGUCUGAAUAUGGGGGGACCAUCCUCCAAGGCUAAAUACUCAUCAUCGACCGAUAGUGAACAAGUACCGUGAGGGAAAGGCGAAAAGAACCCCGGGAGGGGAGUGAAAUAGAUCCU